rnacentral:lncRNA from 1 species
AGACGCCCGGGACCUCGGCGCCGUCUCCUCCCGGGGCCGAGCGAACGCGCGCCCGCGCUCGGGGGUUUGUGGCGUGCGGUCGGGUUUUUCUUUCCGGGUUUCCCCGCGUCCUCCCCAGCUGGCCUCAGGACCAAGCGGCUUAAAGCAUUCCUACACGACGUGGCCACGGCGCGGCCUGCUCCGGGCCGCAGCUCUCCCCGCCGCGCCCCGCCAGGCGGUCCCCUGGAAAGGGGUGAGGGAUUACAGCGCCCGGGUAGGGAGGCGCACAAAGGAAGCUGCGCGCCAGCGGCCCGUCCUUUGUUUUUAAAUGUUGGUUAAUGUACGCAGGGUGCGCGCCCCCAGCCUCAGCAUGCAAAUGUGCAGGGGGAUUAGGGUCUGCAGCCCACACCCAGCAGGCCUUUCAGAACCGCGCAGGCUGCGCUCAUCCAGCCUCAGAGAGGCUUUCUUUGUCAGGGACAAGGGGUAAAUGCAAAGUUUUAAUUCUAUUAACAAUGGUAAUUAUAAGGAUUCCCUUAGGGCGACAACCCUUGAGGUCUCAAAUCACCUAAAGCCCUCGGAAGGAAGGAUUGGCUGCUCUCCCUCCACCCAGCCCGCACAGGCCACUGGGUAAAUGUAUUCCUUUGACCUACUGGCAGAUUCAAUCAUCUCAAAGCAAGACAAAUAGGUAAGUUUUUCCUCUCACUCCCUGGCCACCCUUUCUUAGAGAUGCAAACACUUUCUAAAUAUCCUCACUUGAAGCCUCGCUGACAUGUAGGUGGGAAACAAAUUAUUUCAGUGUUUCAGCUGAGGCAAAUGGUGGCCCAGUAACGCCAUGAUUCCAAGGUGAAAACCAAACCAAUCUUCCUCUGUCCUGCCCUCCACCACGUGAACUCAAAGAGGCUUCUGCACUUCCUGCAGCCACAAACCCCUGUGCAUCCUAAAAGGCAGUGGAAAGCAAUUUCCAACAGCUUCAGAGGAGUGUGUGGAGGCACUACUUGCAUUCAGACACCAUCAACAAGGUGGGUUAGACCGGGACUGGCCUCAAACUGGCCUUGCAAUUGUGAUGCUGAGUGUGUCAAUAAUGAGCAUUUCUCAAAUUCCACUAGGAUUCUCCCUCCCUGUUUGCAUUCUCUGAUGGACUUGAUUGAUGGAAGCUUUACCAUCACCACAACCAGUUUUACAUGACUGUCCACAAAAAGAUACCAGGAUUCCUAGGCUCAGAACUGCCAUAACACAAAAAGGACUUUCCUCUUAUACACGCUCAGCCUGCCUUCCCUCCUAUGAACCCAGUCUCAGCAAGGAUCAUGUUGGGGCUCAUGACCCAAGGAAAGGGGAUCAGAUUAGUGGCUCUCCAGAGUCACCCAUUCUGUGGACAAGAAAACCUGAAACCAAGAGGUUAAAUGGAGUUCUCAGAAUAACAUGCCAGCAGGGACUCGUUGGCGCUGGGCCUGGGGAUGCCUGGUGUGGGACCUGCAAACUUUUGUCACACCAUGGACUCUUCUAUACUUUACUCUCUGUGUUUUGGCUAAAAAACCCACAGUGGCUGUUUGGCUCACGCAGCCUAUUUUAGGGUGCAUUCUAGAUUUCAUUAAGGAUAUGGAAACAAAGCAUAAAAUGAGGUUUGAUGUCAAGAAAGAAUGAAAAGAGAAGACAUGCCCCAGACCACUGGGUCCCAGCACCCUGUGACCUUGGAGUGUGUGGGGGAGGCCCCUGCCAGGAAGAGGUGCCUGGGUGCUUGGUACUCUGGUGCUGUCCACCAGGAACCAACCACACCUGCUACAGAUCUGCCAGAUCAGGCUUGAGCAGGGAGCAACAUGUGUCUUCCUCGGAAUGCAAAACCAAGCCAAAAAACGAAGAAAGCAAGCUCUAUGACCCAACAACCCUCCUGUGGCUGUGCCGUCCAGAAUGGCAGCAACCAGCACACGUGGCUCCUGAGCAGCUGAAAUACAACCAAAGGAAGGUGUGCUGUAAGUGUGAACUCCCCAGGGGACUCCAAAGCCUUAGUGCAAGACAGAACGCAAAGCACCUCAUUAAAAAUGCUCACGAUGACUGCAGGUUAAGGUACUUUAGAUAUAUUUCGGCCAAAUUAAAUGCAUAAUUAAGAUUAA